GAUGAACGCUAGCGGCAGGCCUAAUACAUGCAAGUCGGACGGGAUUCAGGAGCUUGCUUCUGAUGAGAGUGGCGCACGGGUGCGUAACACGUAUGUAACCUACCUUUAUCAGGGGGAUAGCCUCUCGAAAGAGAGAUUAAGCCCGCAUAAAAUCACAGCACAGCAUUGUGUAAUGAUCAAAUAUUUAUAGGAUAAAGAUGGGCAUGCGGAACAUUAGCUAGAUGGCGGGGUAACGGCCCACCAUGGCGACGAUGUUUAGGGGAUCUGAGAGGAUGGCCCCCACACUGGUACUGAGACACGGACCAGACUCCUACGGGAGGCAGCAGUAAGGAAUAUUGGUCAAUGGGCGGAAGCCUGAACCAGCCAUGCCGCGUGCAGGAAGACGGCCCUACGGGUUGUAAACUGCUUUUAUACGGGAAUAAACCCAGAUACGUGGAUCUGGCGGAAUGUACUGUAAGAAUAAGGAUCGGCGAACUCCGU
rnacentral:rRNA from 1 species